AGCGAGGCGAUCCAAUUGAGGAGAGACACAGGGAAAAUACAGAACGAGGGCCUAUUGUGGAGCAGCUCAUUUAUUGCAUUAACGGCUAUAGAGAAGCAGCACUUUCAAAAGAUCCUAAAUUUGAUCACAUUGAAAGAUCCUAAAUUUGAUCACAUUGAAAGAUCCUAAAUUUGAUCACAUUGAUGGUGCAGAUAAGCAGAAGGUUGUGAAUGAGUGUACUGAGGCAGAAGCCUGGUUGAGAGAGAAACCUGGUUGAGAGAGAAAAAGCAGCAACAAGAUGCAUUGCCCAAGCAUGCAAAUCCUGUCCUCUUUUCUUCUGACUUGAAGAAGAAAGCUUAGACCUUAAGACAGGUAGCUGACAACAGGUUCUGUAGACCUAUCAUGACAAAGCCAAAGCCUGCACCUGCCAAAUCGCCAGCUCCUGCUGAGGACCUACCCCCUCCUCCCCAUCCCACCGAAACCCAACAAGAGAGCGUGAACCCUAGUGAACAGGGCCCCGAGGCUGAGGGCCAAGCCCCUCCCCCUGACACUGAGCCCAUGGAAACUGACAAAUCUGAAACCGCCUUUCCUGAGUGAAAGCUCAAAACAACCUCCCAAGGUAUGAAAAUCGUUGGGAAGUUCUAAAAAAGCAUGCUGCCUGUUCAGUUGUUAUUCAUUAGACGAGCCUCCUUUUUUUCCAGUAAUCAUAUUUGGUAUGUAUUUUCUCUUGUUUAUUUGCCCCAUUAUCGGCAAAAGCAUUUUGGUUUGUAGCUGAGGUGGGGAAGGCAGUCUUGUUGGUGGUGUGUUUGAAAGGUUGGAGCCUCUAAACUUUUGGGGGGCCUCCAUGAUUUUGAAGGUCGAGAAAAAUUUAAGAGUUCAUGCCCUUAGAAAUGGGUGCGUUUGUAGGCAUUGUGGAGUGUGGGCCGUAAACCUAUUGACUCCAACUUCGCAAAUCAGAACUGGAUGCAGACCUCUUUGUUCUACAGAAAAAAUGUGACAAUCAUGGCAGGGGAGGUGGAAAUAAGCCUCGAAUCAAUUCAUGGAGAGAACGUAAGGUGAAUGUGUUCGGCCAGUUGAAAUUGUCUUCUGGGACUCCUGCCCCUCGAAGAUCUUCUAGCCUUUGGAAUUAAUAUUAUGGUAUCGUAUGCGAUGGGGUCGAGGGCCCUACAAUUGGGUAGCCCUACAAUUGGGUAGUUAGUCGUGGUUGUUCGCUUUGCAAAGUGGGCGCCUGUAGCGUACUUUGUUGUGCAAUUUUUUUUUUUUUGAUAAUCAACUUUGUUGUGCAUAUUGUAUAAAU